rnacentral:rRNA from 1 species
UACGAAGGUCCCGAGCGUUAUCCGGAUUUAUUGGGUUUAAAGGGUGCGUAGGCGGGUUAUUAAGUCAGUGGUGAAAGCCUACAGCUUAACUGUAGAAUUGCCAUUGAUACUGAUGAUCUUGAGUAUGAUUGAGGUGGGCGGAAUGUGUCAUGUAGCGGUGAAAUGCUUAGAAAUGACACAGAACACCGAUUGCGAAGGCAGCUCACUAAGCCAUAACUGACGCUGAUGCACGAAAGCGUGGGGAGCAAACAGG